CCUUGGUUUAGCUUUUAUAGCUUCAAGAUUUUUACUGGUACAUAAUAACACAGUUGCAUUUAUUUACAUUAGAAUCUUCUAAUAACAAAAAUAGCCAUGUCAUACUACUGAAGGUUUCCAAUCGUCCUCCAUAUUUUUCUACUACCCCCAAAGUAAGACCUACUCUCUGUGCUCUUUGGAGCACACGACAGCAUCCAAUAAAGCCGAGUCUAUGUCUGGGCUUCUUCCUAAUCAGGCAAAGGAAUCCCUUUCAGAGUUUUCUGAUUCCUCUAUUUUUCAAGAGAGAUUUAAAGUGCAUCAGGAGGGAUGGAGGAAGAAGGAGGGGGAAGAGAUACAUAUAGAAUGAAAUAAACUCAUGCCUGGACCUGCACUAACCACCAAAAUACAUCUGCGGUUCUGUACAGAAAAGGAUGGUGGGAUAAAAAAUGGCCCAUUCCAUGCACCUCUGCUACCAAACUGUGGCCAGCAAAAAAGGCCAAGGGAAAACCCUAACAAGGAAUGCAAAUGCCACUGGCGUUUGGUGCUGAGAUUGCCGGGUCUGUGUCUCCUCAGCAGGUCCUAGUGAUGCUCUGAGUGAGGAAUCCCUCCAGAUGUUCAUACAAGUCUCACAAAGAACUGGACGGAGAUUCCUCUUGUAGAAAGCACAUCUGGAUUGGGAUCCAUUUGGCUAGGAAACAUUCAGGAAAGAAUAUUGGAUUUCCACGAGGAAAGUCCUAAAAAUUGUCCUUCAUGCCCGGUCCAACCAGUGCUUCAAAAAAUAUUACAAAAAAGUGAUCUCGUAACUGGAAAUAGAUCCAAUAGGGCAGCUGAUUAGCUUAUGCUCAAGUGGGAAAGUGUAAAAGGAGUUAAAAUAAGUAUGUGUAUGUAGGUUUUCACAUUUUGUAUGCUGGCCUUUGCUGGUAAUGUUUUGCAGUCUAAUAAGCCUGAUACCAUUAGAUACUGCUUAGGAGGUUGACUCCACAAGCCAGAAUGACCCACUCUCAGCUCAACUUAUGUUAAAUGGAGCCCACAUUCUUUUUAAU
rnacentral:lncRNA from 1 species